UUUGGUCCGUCCGUCCUCUGUGCAUGGAAGCCUGAAUGGGACCUUCUUCCGCUCGAAGAACGAGCUCGUGUCCAUGCUCGCCAAGGUGUUCGCUACGUUGGGCUGGAAGGCCUAGACGUUGUCAACAUGAAAACUAUGGCUCCGGUCCCUGCUGAUGGUACCACUCUGGGGGAAAUUGUCAUGCGAGGAAAUGUUGUCAUGAAGGGCUACUUGAAGAACCCAAAGGCAAAUGCAGAGACCUUUGCUCAUGGUUGGUACCAUUCCGGUGACAUAGGUGUAAAGCACCCGGACGGAUAUAUAGAAGUGAAGGACCGUGCCAAAGACAUUAUAAUCUCAGGGGGUGAGAACAUUAGUAGCUUGGAGGUUGAGAGCUACCUGUACAUGCAUCCUGCGGUGCUGGAGGUAUCAGUGGUGGCUCGACCGGACGAGCAGUGGGGAGAGUCGCCGUGCGCAUUUGUGACUCUGAAGGAGGGAGUGGAUCAAUCCAACGAGCAAGCACUGGCAGAAGAUAUUAUCAAGUUUUGCCGUGCAAAGAUGCCGGCAUACUGGGUGCCCAAGUCCGUGGUGUUUGGACCGCUGCCAAAGACAGCUACUGGGAAGAUUAAGAAGCAUGAACUGAGGACGAAGGCCAAGGCAAUGGGACCUGUCAAACAGAGCAGGCUGUAAUGGAAACAUGGCUUUUCAGGAUAUGGAGUUAGCUGCUGUUGUAAGUGGUCUUUAAUAUUGCGGUCCGUGAUUCGAGCUUCGUCAGUAAAUGUAGCACAACCUUCUGCGGUGGUGGUUUUCUGGCGGAAUUAUGCAUUUAUUUAUGACUCUCUUUAAUAA
rnacentral:lncRNA from 1 species